UGGCGGACGGGUGGGUAACGCGUGGGUAACGUGCCUCAUACAGGGGAGUAACAGUUAGAAAUGACUGCUAAUACCGCAUAAGACCACAGCACCGCAUGGUGCAGGGUAAAAACUCCGGUGGUAUGAGAUGGACCCGCGUCUGAUUAGGUAGUUGGUGGGGUAACGGCCUACCAAGCCGACGAUCAGUAGCCGACCUGAGAGGGUGACCGGCCACAUUGGGACUGAGACACGGCCCAA
rnacentral:rRNA from 1 species